rnacentral:lncRNA from 1 species
UAGUCCUCGAAUUCAUCCCUGAAAUUGUCCCAAUUAGUAUUCCAGUCCCCUGUGAGAACCAUGGGAUUAGGUGGCGGAAUGUUCGCUGCCAUAGCGAUGGAAUAGGAGACUUCUUUGCCUUCAGUCAUCGAGACAGACAUUGUUCCAUUAAGGACAACGAAGUCAAUUCAGGGUGGAUGUCAAUGGUGACCCAGCUCAACGCCCUUGGCGGUCCAGAGUCAGAAGUUCCGUCAGAGCUUUGCAGAGGAACUUGGUGACAAGUACCACUACGCGAAUGCCAUCGACAGCUCUCUGCUCUGGACUGUUGGGUACACCCCCUACAUUCCUGCAGCUCUGAAAGGAAGAAGCUUCCCCUCUGUCGAGAGCUUCUUCCUGGAUGAGUGGGAGCCACUGACAUUCCUGCAGACUCCUCAGGUUCUGUCCACCAGUGUUUCCAUCGAGGAAGACAACCUGAUCCAGUCUGCUGCAGGCCUAGUGUCUCAGGUUCUGUCCACCAGUGUUGCUAUCGUGGAGAGUGACCUGAUCCAGUCUGCUGCAGGCCUAGUGUCUCAGGUUCUGUCCACCAGUGUUGCCAUCGUGGAGAAUGACCUGAUCCAGUCUGCUGCAGGCCUAGUGUCUCUGGUUCUGUCCACCAGUGUUACCAUCGUGGAGAAUGACCGGAUCCAGUCUGCUGCAGGCCUAGUGUCUCAGGUUCUGUCCACCAGUGUUUCCAUCGUGGAGAAUGACCAGAUCCAGUCUGCUGCAGGCCUAGUGUCUCAGGUUCUGUCCACCAGUGUUUCCAUCGUGGAGAAUGACCUGAUCCAGUCUGCUGCAGGCCUAGUGUCUCAGGUUCUGUCCACCAGUGUUGCUAUCGUGGAGAGUGACCUGAUCCAGUCUGCUGCAGGCCUAGUGUCUCAGGUUCUGUCCACCAGUGUUUCCAUCGUCGAGAAUGACCAGAUCCAGUCUGCUGCAGUCCUAGUGUCUCAGGUUCUGUCCACCAGUGUUUCCAUCGUGGAGAAUGACCUGAUCCAGUCUGCUGCAGGUCUAGUGUCUCAGGUUAUGUCUACCAGUGUUGCCAUCGUGGAGAGUGACCUGAUCCAGUCUGCUGCAGGUCUAGUGUCUCAGGUUCUGUCCACCAGUGUUGCUAUCGUGGAGAAUGACCUGAUCCAGUCUGCUGCAGGCCUAGUGUCUCAGGUUCUGUCCACCAGUGUUGCUAUCGUGGAGAGUGACCUGAUCCAGUCUGCUGCAGGCCUAGUGUCUCAGGUUCUGUCCACCAGUGUUGCCAUCGUGGAGAAUGACCGGAUCCAGUCUGCUGCAGGCCUAGUGUCUCAGGUUCUGUCCACCAGUGUUGCCAUCGUGGAGAGUGACCUGAUCCAGUCUGCUGCAGGCCUAGUGUCUCAGGAGCUGUCCAGCAGUGAUGCUAGAGUGAAGGAUCGUGAUGAUUCCACACUGAGAGACUCCAACCAACCUGAGGUCCAUGUGGCUGAUGUCUCAACCAAGAGAAGUAGACUAGUCAUCACUAUUUCUAUGUUUUCAACCGAGCGUUGCAAUGCUUCGGUCCAUGAAGUUGAUGCUAUUGCUACCAGCCUGGAGCACUCUGCUGAGAAAAUGUCUACCUCUACCGCUGAUGGCCACAUUGUUUCAUCCACUGCUGUUGCCAAUCAGAAGAAAACAAGGGGUGGAUUCGUCUCAGCUCUUCGGAGAUUGUUUACGAGAAAGAACAGGAAGCCUGCUAAAGUGGCUUCCAAGAAGGAGCACAUUCACUUGGUUGACCGCCUCAAUGCUGAAGUCACCCACUGAGGACACUCACUCACUGCUGAAAGCAUCCAGAAUGAUGCUUCUGUUUCUCCUCAGCGCCACCUACACCCCUGCCCCUCUCCCCCACACCAAACCCUACCAGGGUUGGGGUGAAAUCCAGAUCAAUUCAGUCAAUUCAGGAAGUAAACUGAAAUUCCAAUUCCAAUUGUUUCUCAUAGGAGGCAAUGAGGUAAAUUUGAAUUGCUAUUGGAAUUUCAGUUUAUUUACUGAAUUGACUGAAUUGAAAAUGAAUUGACCCCAACCCUGAUCCCUAAGCCCCCACCCCAUCCAUUUCUAUCUUCAGUAAAUUUAGUAGAAUUUUAUUUGAAUGUGUUUUGUAUCUUCAUUAAAACCACAAUACAUCUCUAAUGAGGGUCACUCAUGUUACACAUCUAGAUUUAUCCUCAAAUAUCGUAGAAUUCAACAAAUGCAGUGGUUUAGCAGUUCAACUUCAGUACUUGUCAAUGAGUCAUUGCACUGUGACCUUCAGAAACAUGUAACAUUGUGGAACAAUUGAAAACUUUUGCUGACAUUCUGUUACAAUGUAACUACACUGAACAAAAAUAUUAACGCAACAUGUAAAGUGUUGGUCCC